rnacentral:tRNA from 1 species
GCGAAAGUGGCGGAACUGGCAGACGCGCUGGAUUUAGGUUCCAGUGGGCUUAGCCCCGUGCGGGUUCGAGUCCCGCCUUUCGCACCA